GUGGGGAAUAUUGGACAAUGGGCGAAAGCCUGAUCCAGCAACGCCGCGUGAGGGAUGACGGCCUUCGGGUUGUAAACCUCUUUUAGUAGGGAAGAAGCGAAAGUGACGGUACCUGCAGAAAAAGCACCGGCUAACUACGUGCCAGCAGCCGCGGUAAUACGUAGGGUGCAAGCGUUAUCCGGAAUUAUUGGGCGUAAAGAGCUCGUAGGCGGUCUGUCGCGUCUGCUGUGAAAACUGGAGGCUCAACCUCCAGCCUGCAGUGGGUACGGGCAGACUAGAGUGCGGUAGGGGAGAUUGGAAUUCCUGGUGUAGCGGUGGAAUGCGCAGAUAUCAGGAGGAACACCGAUGGCGAAGGCAGAUCUCUGGGCCGUAACUGACGCUGAGGAGCGAAAGCGUGGGGAGCGAACAGGAUUAGAAACCCCAGUAGUCC
rnacentral:rRNA from 1 species